GACGAACGCUGGCGGCGUGCUUAACACAUGCAAGUCGAACGGUGAAGCGCCUUCCUUUUUGGUGGGUGUGGAUGAGUGGCGAACGGGUGAGUAACACGUGAGUAACCUGCCCCUUCUUUUGGAUAACCCGCUGGAAAUUUGGCUUAAUACGGGUAAUCUUGGUCCUUUGCCUUGUGGGUCUUGGGAAGGUUUUGUUUUGGUUGGGGGUGGGCUCGCGGCCUAUUCGCUUGUUGGUGGGGUUAUGGCCUACCAAGGCGGUGACGGGUAGCCGGCCUGAGAGGGUGGACGGUCACACUGGGACUGAGACACGGCCCAGACUCCUACGGGAGGCAGCAGUGGGGAAUAUUGCACAAUGGGCGCAAGCCUGAUGCAGCGACGCCGCGUGAGGGAUGGAGGCCUUCGGGUUGUGAACCUCUUUCGCCAGUGAAGCAGGCCUGCCUCGUUUGUGGGUGGGUUGACGGUAGCUGGAUAAGAAGCGCCGGCUAACUACG
rnacentral:rRNA from 1 species